rnacentral:tRNA from 1 species
GGAGGGAUGGCCGAGCGGUUGAAGGCACCGGUCUUGAAAACCGGCGAACGCAAGUUCCGGGGGUUCGAAUCCCUCUCCCUCCG